rnacentral:lncRNA from 1 species
GUCAAAGUAGAUUGUAAAAAGAUAAAAAACAACUAUUUUUUUGGGGGGAAAAAUAAAGCUAAAAUUUUGUGGGGUCAUUGGUCCCCACAUGAAUGUCCCCAUGUCCUUUCAUGCCCAUAGUUGCUAGUAACCAUAGAUAUACAUAUAGGAUUGUGUAUUCGAGGGUCCAAGAAGCAGUUGGACAAUGACCCAGUACUCAUCAUGCACAUUCUGACUACAAGUAUCCGAUGCUUUUUUUGCCAGGGAAAAUUACAUGGAGACAUGUUUUUCAAGUUUCAACUUCAAAAAUCACGUUUUAAGCUUUGUUUUACAAAAAUCAGAUGAUAAUUUAACUUUUUAAUAUUAAAAUAAUAAUAUCAUAAAAUUUAAUUAAUAAACCACCCCCAAAUCGAAAUUUUGCUGAAUUAUAUCGUAUUCCCCCUCUCCCCUCUCUCUCUCCCCACAUUGGCGUUGCAUCACGGUGGAGAGCACUAUUGUGUGCAACGGCGAAGAGCACUAUUACGCCAGAGUGAGAGCCUGAAGUGGCGAUUCUGUCAUAGUUACUCUUUGAGCGGCGUAGUACUCAUUGCUGUUGCUACAUACACCAGGCAUUUUGGGGCUUGUUGCAGUGCAAGGAGGGAUUUGUGUUGGAGAUUCAGGGAUUUUCAUGGGAGGAGCUUAUUGUGCAAUAAUUGAGGUUUGUGGUGUGGAAAUGGGCAGAGGUAGUGAAGUGGUGAUGACGGCCGGUAGUUUUGGUUGUUUUCGCGGCAUUGGCGGAUCGAGAACAUCCUUGCAAAACUGGUAUUCAAUUAUUCCGAUCUUGUCUCACCACGGCCAUGAAAUUGAGUUUGUGGUGAUGGUGGCUUUUGAUUUGAUGUAGAUAUGGUGGUGGUGGUGCUUGUGGAUUGGGGAACAAGUGGUGGUGAUGAUGGUGGCGGUGGUGCUUGUGGCCUAGGUAGUACCUUGCAGGAGGUGAUAUAUUUAAGGUUGUCCACGACAUAUUUAUUGUUGGAUCUUUAACGUGGUGGCAGUGGUGCGGUGAUGUGGGUGGUGGUGGUUAGGAUUUGUUGAAAGUGACGGUGGUGUGCAUUUGGUUGAUGUUGUUGGAGUGGUGGUAGCGACGAUGAAAAUCUAGUAUGAUCGAGUCUAUAUCCAUUGUGAGUGUCCGUGCCAGAUCUAUAAUAAUUGUGACUGUAUGUAACUUGGUUACAUAUAGUCACAAAUUAAAUUGAUAUGGUCACAAAUAGUCAAACUAGAGACAGAAUUGGUCACAAUUAGUCACAGAUAAGAAAGGUCAGUGAAUGUUGUAAAAUUGGAGGUGAAGGUAGUAGUGACUGGUAGUGGAUUGUGGUACUGGGAUACGGUGUGUGAAGAUUUGUUUAUGGUGACUCUUUGAGGUCAAGUAUGUGUUUAUUGUGAAAAUUGUGACUAAUUCUGUAUUAACUGUGAUCGAUUGUGACUUGAUCACAUACUGCCACAGUAAAUAUUGAAUUGGUCACAGACAGUCACACUGAAUACAAAUUUAAUCACAGUUAGUCACAGACAACACAUUUCGGUGACACACUGACUUGGUCAGAGACGAUCUGGCCAUAGUUAGUCACAGAUACACACAAGUAUGGUCACAAACUAUAAAUCUAAUUACAUAUAAAACAAUUAAUUACAAAACCUGUCAACUACAAUAUAACACUACUGCCAUCAUGCAGUACUCAAAAUGUUGUUAACACCUCACCACCACCACCACCAAACAGAUUAACUGCAAUGCAACUUCAUUACCUCCAAUGCAUUAUCUCUGCCAAAAUACAGAUCUAUUUUUUAAACACAGCUCCACCUUACCACCACAACCACCAUCUGUAAAGUUUUGUGUUUGAAUUCUGUUCCUUUGUUUGUUUUAGUUCUUGUGAAUGAAUUUAUUUCUGGUUUGCCACUGGUAUUGAAACAAUGUAGAACCACCCAAAAGAGAAACCUAGAAAAUCUUCUAUUUUAUCUCGUUGGUGAGUGCACUCUUACGUAUUUCAAUUUGACUUUAUUUUCAAGAAAUUAUGUUGUGCUGGGUGUAAUUUAAUUUUGUAAAUUCCUCAAGUGUUUUUCAACAUUAAUUACUUCAAAAUGGGAUCAAUUGUGGUUUUUAUUUUUCUUUAUCAUUACUACAAGGUUCCUUUUAAGAACUUUUAGUAUGCUAAUUUUGUGGGCAAUGAGUUAAUUUAUUUAUAUUUUUUGUAUUACUGCUUCACUUGACAUGUUAAUGUCGAUGAUUCAUAAAGACGGUAUGGGAGAUAUUUCUCAUGGCUUGGGGUGAGAAUUGCAUAUGGGUGGUGUAGAGGUUGAUAGUUCUAUAAUUUAAAUGGAUUUCUUUUUAUAAUAUACAUAUUUUUUGGUGUUGGAUUGCAUCAAUUGAGUCCUUAGUUGAAAAGGGGUGUGCAAUAAAGGCAAGGAAAUGAACAAGCCCUUUCAUUUUGAGUAAAUAAUCAUUGAUUGACUAAGAAUCCUUCUUUGUAUGUUUCAAAUUUGUCUUCAAAUGCAAGAUUUCCCACAAAAUAUAAGGCGGAAUCAACAGGUCAAAGGUGGUGGAGUCGAUGAUGUUGUUUCUUGUAGGUUGGUCGAUAGAUAGAAGCAGUCGAUGAUGAUGGUUUCUUACUCUUUUUUGUCCUUUUUUUCCCUUUAGUUUAUAAAAGGUUUCAAGAAUUUGUUUUAUUUACGUUUCUCUUACUACUUUUAUAGUUAAAACUGAAUUUAUUGAAGAUAUUUCAACCUUUGUAAAUCACUCUCCAUGAGCCUGUACCUAUAGAUUUAUGCCUUGUAUUGAUGGGUAAAGAUAACUUUCUAAUUCUUACAUUUCUAAUUGUAGAUAGUUGGGGGUGACAUAAGUAUUUAUAUCUCAAAUUUCCUUUUUUUCUUUCGGACAGUUGAUUUUAUGGAAGUUCACCGGUUUAUUUAAUAGGAGUCACCUACAAUACCGGUAGAAAUUAGAAGAACAAAUGGAAGGAAUUAGUUGACUGACUUCGCAUCAUAUUACUUGGUAUUGCCCUAAUACUUUUAUUUUGAGCGAACGGUGCAAGUUAUAGUGUAUAAGCCUUGGGAGAUAUUGUGCACUGAUUCUUAAGCAGGAUUUCAGCAAGGGAUAUGAUGGAAAGGAUGUUGUGCAAAAUCUACGCCAAGCUUGCUUUUUAAGAUAGCCAAUAAAAGUGGAAAACUAUGGCUUGAGUGGGAUUAUGUCGCAUAUUUUGCAAUCUGCUAUCCUAUGAAGGAGAACAAAUACAGUAAAGAUUGUGUAGAUGAAGUAAUCCGUUCACUUUGUAUGUUACAAUUCCUGUUUAUCAAUGUUUUAAUCAACCAACAAAAAAAAAAUUAAAUUAAAUUAAAGCAUGCAGUAUAAUGUAUGUUUACAUGAAUAUUCAUUUUCAUUUUGUAGAUGAGUUGAUGUGACCAAAAUCCUGUAUACUAUAAUGGAUACCAACAUUAACCAUACUGCAUCAUUUUAUUAUCACUAAGUGUCGUCAUUUGUCACUGUUUUAUUUUAAUUAUUUAAUUUUUUUCUCUUUUGAGAAUGAGAAAUCACAUCCAUUGUUCUUAAAUUGUUAGUUAACUACAAGGCUUAGGGAUUUAACAGUUAUGGCUGCUUAGAGUAAGCUGGAUGGUUGUUUACUGCUGUAGUAAUGGUUUUUUCCUAUUCGUAUUGCUUGUAGUUCUUGAAAUUAUGUUGAUUGAUGUGUAUUUAUCACCCUUAAAUUUUAAUUUCAUCUAAAUGCCUGCUGUAUCUUAUAAUGAGUUGUAUCCGUGUGAAACUGGUGACAUGGAUUAACCUUGGAUUUCGAUCAUAUUUCAUACAUUAUCGAUCAUCUAAAUGCUUGUAACCUGCUAGCUGGAAGUUGCAAUUGAAGGUGAGAUGGGGGAAGGUAUGAAAAUGAAGCUCUCAUCUCUCUAUUUUUAGAUGAUGAAAAGAUUACAAAAUCAGUUAAUAUCUUUGCAGAAUAUGGUAUCGCUAGAUAAAUAGAAGAUGUCAUAAUCUUCUAGAAUGUCAAAAAUAGAUGGCAUGGUUAAUAGACUUCACAUGAUGGUCUUUAAGCACCAAUGUUCCCAUCAAAUCUGCUCAAGAUACUAUUGACAUGCUAAAAAAUCAUUACCCUGAAAGACUAGCCAUGGAAUUUUUUACAAACCCCCAUGUAUAUUUGAAGCAUUUUGGAAGGUUUUCCAUUUUCCUUUUAUAAUCAUUGAUUUUAUUUUCUGAUCUUUAGGUAAUGAGAGAGUAGACUUUGCAUUAUGGGUUUCUUUUUUGUUGGAUUACAUGGGAUAACUGAAGCAUUCUUUUACAACGGUUAGAAUCAUCUUUUUAGUCGUGGUUUACUUCGUGAGGAAGGGAAUAUGUUGGAUUAGAACUUAGGACUAUACUACAUUAAAUUAAUUUUGUAUGUGCAGAUCUCAGUUAGGAAAUUUUACGUUUUUAUACUACAAUUUAUUCAUUUUCAUUAGGUAAAGAAUUGACCUUUCCUCCAUACUAAUUUAGAAAUGCUCUUUUAUUGCAGGUUGUAAAAUACUUUUUGAAUGCAAAAUCAUUCUAGAAUGUAAAUUUCUCUACCCAAAAAACAAAGAAAAUCAUGAGAUCCUAUUUUGAUGUAGACAAUCUUCCAGCUGAGUUCAGAGGUAAAGUCGUACUGGCUUUACUACAACCACGUGGAUAAAGCUUGAGAACAGUGUAAAAACAGUAGGUAUUGUAUUACUCCUGUUAUAGAUCUAUACGCAUAUUAGAGUUAAUGUUUAUCCAUCACUUCAAAUGCACUUUAUGAUAUGCAUUAUCUUUCAGUUACUUUGGCUGUACUUGGUGAGAAGACCGCAGUUAUGUCACCUAAAAUACUUGUUAAUGCCGUUGUUCCAUGCUGCAAACAGCAAUUUAAUAUGGUAUCUUAUUCUUUUAUAUUGUUUGCUCGCUACAACUUAAUUUCACUCGCUUCAGGAAGAGGCCCACAUUGCCAAAUUCUCUUAUUUUCUGCUACUCUUAGACUAUGUUAUGUAUUCUUUCACCAAUUUAAGAAAUUAAACAAAGGUAAACUGAGUUAUAUAUAACCGAUGGAGCAGCUCUCAUCCAGCCUAUUAAAUUCAACCUUCCUCCAAUGUUGCCUCCAUCAUUUCUCUGAUCAACCUGUACUGUGCUCCUGAUUAAUAGAUCCCUGUGGAGCUUCAAAACCUCACUCUUUUUCAUAUAUUCACAACAAAAUUUAUGCUAUUUCUUCAACAAGUCUUGAGUUCCUACAUGGGCACAAAAUCGUUAUCAACAAAGCCAUCUUCAUUGCAGAUAGAAGCCCACAAAAUGACCAAUGAAGAAGUCUCAAAGCAUUGCAUUGGUGGGGUACCGCAUCACCUGUACCUACUAUGGUUAUUGAAGCUUUUAGAGAAAGCAUUGAUGCUCACAUGACUUUUGAUGGUAAUUAUGGAAAACUCACGAUGAAAAUGAAAGCAUUUUUGCCCACCUGGUAUUUUAUCUCUUGGUUUAGAUAAACAGAUAAUUUUUUAAAUUCUGAUUUCUCGGUUCUUUCUUCGUAUGUGUUUAUUAUUUUACAAAAAUUUGAACCAAAUAAUUGUAAAGGAAUCUGCAACAUUAUGUCAAUAAGUUUUGAAUUGUUGCUGUAUUCUUUCCCAAGAAUACAGCUACAUAAAAUUUAAUUAUUAUUAGAUAUAAAUUAGUAAAUAUUAUUUAUUUAAAGUAUAUUUAGGAAAGGAGAGUUUACACGAUUUUUUUUUUUUUUUUUAAGUAUCAGUUUACACUCUCACCUAAAAGUUGAUUUAGCCCACGUUUGGCCCUCAUUAAAUUUCAUUUCAUUUUUCUCUCUCUUAUUUUUAAUCACACAAUCUUCCAUAAAAUAAUAUUACACGUAAAUCAAAAACUUUUUCACCUUUCUCAACCUGUCAUUUUCAAAAACAUAUUCCACCUAUUUUCAUUUCAAAAAAUGGGGACCAAACGGGGGCUUAGAACAUACUUAUAUUUAGAGCUUGUUUGUCUUCCAUUUUGGGAGAAGAUAUAGAGUUUUGAAUAGUAGUUUUUGGAGAAUGUGUGGUUGAAAUUUAAAAAAACUUUAUUGGUUUGUGCGUAGAAUAUUUUGUUGUGUGAAUGUAUGGUGAAAAAUGUUACUGUAGCAAACAAUUUAUUUUUUUAAAGGAUGAUAAACCAGGCCUUAUUCUAUACUACUAAAUAGUCAAUUGCAACUCUGCCACGUGCGAUGCUAAAAAUUUUGAUGCAUCAAUUGCUUAUAUUGUUCAAUUACAUGUUGCAUAUUUGACUUGUUUGGAAUAAUUGUAUUUCGCUGUUAAUUUACAUUUCAUUUUAUGGGAUCUUGAUCAUUUAUUGGAAUUUCUUAUUCUGCAAAAUGAUAUCUUUUAGAAACAAAUCAAUCAAUAAAUGGAAAGGAAAACACAACUAACAACUAGUUUUGCAGCUAUUUGAGGUAAAUUUCACGUCUUUAGUCAAGUUUAACUUUUAAGACCUCAUUUUUUUUCUUUUGCUGUGAAAUGUACAACAGUCCACAACUAACUGUUUGAAUUUCUUGAGAAUAUCAUUGAACAAGUUGCUACUUAUAUGAGAGACCAAGAAAGAUGAUCAAGGGGAAGCAUCAGAAUAGAUUGGUUGUUUCCAUAUGUAGAAAUGUAGGUUCAGCUUGAUUUUAUUAACUUAGUUUUAGUCAGGAUAAAGCAAACCUUGAUUUGAUAAUAUAUGCAUGUGUCAUCGUUUUUAUUUUUCAUUAUAUGAUGUGUGCAUAAAUUGAAUUUUAAGCAUAUCUUUCUAUGCAUGUUCAGUAUUAAUCAACAAAACUAAGCAAGAGGUAAGAUUUCUUUUCUCAAAUGACUUUCUAUAUUGUGGUUAUCUACUCUGGCUACUGUGGAGGUUUUAAUUGUUUGUAAGUAUUUCAACUUAUUUCUAAAAUGGAUGUGAUUCUUGAUUCAUUUAUGUGUUUUUUUUUUUUUUUUUUUUUUUUUUCUGAUUUAGGCCUCCAUUAAUGUGAUAUAUUCAGUUGGGGGCUUUUCCCCCAAAUUCGAGAAGUAAUAAGAAAUUGAAAAAUGAAUGGUUUUUGAUUGAACAGAAUAUGAAUUGUUAGAUUUUGAAUGUUUAGCUAUUCUAUUUUGGAUUACUGCUACCAAGAGUAGGCACAAUUCUAUUUAAAUAACUAAUAUGAAGGGAGGCUCAUUUUAAAGGGGAAUAUUUCCUUUGUUUCUUUGGUAUUCAUUAUCGAAGCUAACAAAGAAAUUUUAGUUUCUUCUUCCAUUGCAGUGGAUAGUUCAUUAGGAGCAAUGAUCAGAGCUCUAAUCAGGCAAGAGAUCGGAAAUGGGCUCGUUAAGAGGGGCUGUUUUUGGCGCUAUCUAUGGUGUUAUUUACUUAAUCAUAGUCUUCGAGUUUUCACCGCUUUUAUAUGAAUCUGGCAUUGGGUGUAUCUUGUAUUUGGUGUGAUGCAAAUGUUGAUGCUUCUUUGGAGAGUUUUUUGUUCAGUCUGUCUUUUACUACUAUUAAUCACGAAUAAUAAUAAAUCCUUUAUUGAUCAGUUAGAUUGAUUGCACAGAAAAUCUCAUGGCAUCAUCUUCCGAACAUUUAGGACUUCCAGGUUGGGG